CGAACGGGUGAGUAACACGUGGGUGAUCUGCCUUGCACUCUGGGAUAAGCUUGGGAAACUGGGUCUAAUACCGGAUAGGAACCGUCUUUAGUGUGGUGGUUGGAAAGUUUUUCGGUGCAAGAUGAGCUCGCGGCCUAUCAGCUUGUUGGUGGGGUAAUGGCCUACCAAGGCGACGACGGGUAGCCGGCCUGAGAGGGUGGACGGCCACAUUGGGACUGAGACACGGCCCAG
rnacentral:rRNA from 1 species